rnacentral:rRNA from 1 species
UACAGAGGUGCCGAGCGUUAGGCGGAAUCACUGGGCUUAAAGCGUGUGUAGGCGGAUGCCUAAGUACCUUGUGAAAUCCCACGGCUUAACCGUGGAACUGCUCGGUAUACUGGGUGUCUUGAGCCACUUAGGGGUUACCGGAACAAAUGGUGGAGCGGUGAAAUGCGUAGAUAUCAUUUGGAACGCCGACGGUGAAAACAGUCUGCUGGGGGUGUGCUGACGCUGAGACACGAAAGCCAGGGGAGCGAACGGG